AAGUCGUAACAAGGUUUCCGUAGGUGAACCUGCGGAAGGAUCAUUAAUGAAUAACUAUGGUGUUGGUUGUUGCUGGCUUCUAGGAGCAUGUGCACGCCCGCCAUUCUUAUCUUUCCACCUGUGCACAUUAUGUAGGUCUGGAUAACUCUCGCUCUCGGGCGGAUGCAGGGAUUGUCGCUUGCGACUCUCCUUGAAUUUCCAGGUCUAUGUAUUUACAUACCCCAAUUGAAUGAUGAAGAAUGUAGUCAAUGGGCUUGUAGCCUAUAAAACAAUAUACAACUUUCAGCAACGGAUCUCUUGGUUCUG
rnacentral:misc_RNA from 1 species